rnacentral:rRNA from 1 species
CUUCGGUGCUAGUGGCAGACGGGUGAGUAACGCGUGGGAACGUACCUUUCGGUUCGGAAUAAUUCAGGGAAACUUGGACUAAUACCGGAUACGCCCUUCGGGGGAAAGAUUUAUCGCCGAUAGAUCGGCCCGCGUCUGAUUAGCUAGUUGGUGAGGUAAUGGCUCACCAAGGCGACGAUCAGUAGCUGGUCUGAGAGGAUGAUCAGCCACAUUGGGACUGAGACACGGCCCAAACUCCUACGGGAGGCAGCAGUGGGGAAUAUUGGACAAUGGGCGCAAGCCUGAUCCAGCCAUGCCGCGUGAGUGAUGAAGGCCUUAGGGUUGUAAAGCUCUUUUGUCCGGGAAGAUAAUGACUGUACCGGAAGAAUAAGCCCCGGCUAACUUCGUGCCAGCAGCCGCGGUAAUACGAAGGGGGCUAGCGUUGCUCGGAAUCACUGGGCGUAAAGGGCGCGUAGGCGGACUUUUAAGUCGGGGGUGAAAGCCCAGGGCUCAACCCUGGAAUUGCCUUCGAUACUGGGAGUCUUGAGUUCGGAAGAGGUUGGUGGAACUGCGAGUGUAGAGGUGAAAUUCGUAGAUAUUCGCAAGAACACCAGUGGCGAA